AUGGGGUCUUACUAUGUUGUCCAGGUUGAUCUCGAAUUCCUGGCCUCAAGGGAUCCUCCUGCCUUGGCCUCCCAAAGUGCUGAGAUUACAGGGAAGAACCACAAGUACCCAGCCCACCCUUGGUCCUUGAAGGAAGAUAGAAUGCCAGAGAGUUGUCUAAGGAGGGCCCACCACGACCAGCUGCAGCACCCAGGUAAAAAGAUAAGCAGAAGAUCUCCACCAGCCCUCACUGUCACGGCAACACCGAGAGUCCUCGUUAGAGGAGAAUCCCACAGUCAUCGCAAGCCCUGAGUCCAGUGUGAAGGGCUGCUGGGAAUCUACGCAGCUGCCUUGAACCAGGAAACUGGUUGGUACACUUGGUGACAUACUGCUUGGACCUUGGGACAACAUCUUCCCUUCUGAGAUUGUGAACAGGUGUCUCAGUGUGUGUGAGAACUUGCCAUCUCUCUGCGUGUCCAUGUAGUAUCCUUCUGCUAUCAAAGAGUGCACACUGCUUUCAGGACACAGUGGGAUACAGCGAAGCAGCCAUCCCAGAGACUGUGCCCUCAGGGCCUAUUAAUGCCUACUUCUUGAAGUGUUGUAUAAGAGCUCUUCUGCUUUUCCUGCCUAACAGGAAUUAAAGUAGAUUAAGAGGUGUAUGGGUUGAGAACUAGCAUGAAACACUGAAUCAAUCCAAAGAGACUAACUGGAAAUGCCUAGAAUAGAUGACUUCAUUCUAGCCACUCCUGCUACCCCACCUCCACUUACCCUAGUUGAUAUUUGAGUGUUUUGUAAUGACAAAGCCCCAAACUGUUGCUGAGGAGAACUGCUAACACUCACUCGCACUUCUUCAAAGAUGCUUGUCCCUUGUGGUUGAGAACCGUGAGACAGUUGGGCACCUUCUCAGUUGAGGAAGACAAGAAAGAAGAAAAUGCCCAAGGUGAGCUUUAAUGCAGAGGGCAGCUCAGCAACCGCCACUUAAUUCUUCAUUGAACCCAGAAGAAAACAAGGCAAGUUCUAACAGAAUUAGGCAAGGUUGGCUGGGCACUGUGGCUCACGCCUGUAAUCCCAGCAUUUUGGGAGGCCAAGGUAGGUGGAUCACCUGAAGUCAGGAGUUUAACACCAGCCUGGCCAACAUGGUGAAACCCCAUCUUUACCAAAAAAUACAAAAAAUUAGCUGGGUAUGGUGAUGCAUGGCUGUAGUCUCAGAUACUCAGGAGAAUGAGACAGGAGAAUUGCUUGAACCUGGGAGGCAGAGGUUGCAAUGAGCCAAGAGCCAAGAUGGCACCACUGCACUCCAGCCUGGGUGACAGAGUGAGACCCUGUUUUUAAAAAAAAACAAAAACAAAAAUGAAAAACAGAAUUAGGCAAGACUAAAGGCAGAAAGCAGCUCAUGCUUCUCAGGACCAUGACUUUGGACUGGGCCACUUGAAUGACCUUUGAAUGAUGUCUCAAUCCAAUGACACUUGGCUCCAUGCAUGCAUGCUCACUGGGUGCAGAGGCUUUACCACCACUGCACCUAAUUUUCUGCUUCCCCAGAAGGUUGCUCUGUCCCUGCAGCAGUUUCUAAUAAUGUCCCUGAGUUAGCCAAUGUUUCAUUUUCCAAAAUGGCAGCCAUUUUUGUUGACUCUAGGUAAUACCCUACCAGGAAAUUUCUUAGCACUCUAUGCCUGCUGCUAACCCAGAUCCCACUGGUGGAAUCCUGCUCAUGGGCUUGAUAGACCCAAUCACAGCCUUGGCUUCUGUCUUGGGAGUUGGGGUAGUGAGAUUGGGAGCAUAACUAAAAAAGCUGUAGGGUCUCACAGGCAUGGGAAUCAGAUCUGAGCUCCACCACUUGCUACUUGUGUGACCGCUAAGUCUCAGUUUCUUACGUAUGAAGUGGGAAUAGUAAUAGUUCCCAUCUCAUAUGAUUCUUGUGAAGAUUAAAUAAAAUACUGCAUAGAUGGUGAUUAGCCCAGUUCCUUGCCCAUACGAAUAUUAUUAUUGUUAAUAAUAAUAAUUUUAAUAUUCUGGGGCACAGAGUUUGAUCAAAAUUUGUCAUUCAUGAAACACUGUCACCAUUGCUCCUUCCUUGUCCCCCUCCCCUGGCACCUUUACCCCAGAGCGACCAUUUUUAUCUACCAUACUUAUUCAUUCCUUUGUUUUGUUUCCUAUGGUUGCUUUUUUUUUUUUUUUAAUAUAUCUCUAUAUAUAUUCACCUAUGCAAUAUGUUACUUAGUUUUGCUUUGUUUUUGAACUUUCUAAAGAGAGUAUCAGGCUCUAUGUAGUUAUCUGGGA
rnacentral:lncRNA from 1 species